GGGGUCGACUGGUUUUGACAGCAAGUCGAAUUGAAAAGUAAGCACGUGGAGAACUGGGACAAUUCUCGUUAAUAAAAGGUUCCAAAACACAUACACGGCGAAGGAAACUACGCUCUUGCUGCAUAAUCUGAAUCAUAGUAAGAUUAGCCUAGUUCCUAUUAGAUAGGAAAGCAGGAUUUACCUCGAAAGCUUUGGUUUAUAGCGGUCGAUAAAGGUGAAUCGUAAAUUUAAACCUAGAUUUCCAUAAGCUUCGGGUGGACUUCGAAAUAAAGAAGAUAAGUAUUGAGUGGCUGUUUCUGGCCUGGCUCACUAUCGAAAAUCUAAUCAGGAAAUAAACGUGUAGAAAGCCUUUUAGUUGCUUGUUUGGACCCGAGUUCGAUUCUCGGCGACUCCACAA
rfam:Flavobacterium frigoris PS1 66_18, whole genome shotgun sequence.